CCUCUCCCUCUCCCUUUCCAUCGAGCCCAGCCACCUACGUCCAAGUCGUCGCCACGUCCGCGCCGUCCUUCGCACAACAAUGGAUCGGUGUCGUCCCUCGCCCAGUCGCUUGAGUCUUAGUCGCACUGCUAGACGUCUGAUGCCUUUCGCCCGAAGCCGCCUGUCUGUCGAGUCGCACCAUUCCUCCAUGCGCCAGUUGACUGGACCAGUGCUGUCGCCCGCUCGGCCAAUCGCCACAUCGUUCGUCAAUCUCUCUCUCUCGCUGCUCUGUCUGUCUGGCCGACACGGUUCGCCGCCGUCGCCGGUCUUCCGUGCAGGUUUCACCCGCCAUUGUUUCGCCAGAAUCUUGGACUGUAAUAUCUAUUUUGUUGGGUUGGGUUUUCUUGAAGGAUUUUGGGAUGCCCACUAAGUUUUGGCUUUGACUUGUCAAUAUUCAUCACAUCUUAGUGUUAGGACGAGACUUGGAAGGAAGUGCACUGUCGUGAGUUUGACUCGAGACAAGAUUGAGCAAGAUUGGUUCCAAGUCAUCAUCCAUUAGGAGAUUUUGGAGUUGAAAUCUUGAGAUGUUGUUGAUCAAGCUUCGUUUGGGAUUCACUAGAGGUUGUGUUUCCUUCGGAAUUCAUCAGAGGUUAUGUUUCCUUCCAGAUUCACUAGAGGUUGUAUUUCCUUUGAGAUCCACCAGAGGUUUUUUUUCCUACAGGAUUCAUAGAGAUGGUGAACUCCUUCGGGACUUCACUAAAGGUUUGAGUUUCCUUCGGGAUUCACCAGAGGUUGUGGGUACUUUUAAACUACGUUAGGUUGGAUUCAACUAUUCAUUUAUUUGUCAUUCCAUGAAAACUAGAGGAUUAUGUACAUCCCACUAGAGGAUGGCAUCUAGAGGAUAUAGAUACUUAGCCUGGCCCCUAGUAGGAUUACUUACUAUGUAUUUUAUACUCAUCAUUUCUCAUUAUUAUAUUUUUCAGGUAAGGGUAAAGACGCACCGACGAAUGACAAGCGGAAUCCGUGAUCGAGCUACUCGGAGUAACCAUAUGCUUCCACUCAUGUUUUCAAGAUUUUUCUAUGUUUUAAUUUCUUGUUUUGACAUUUGAACUCACAGUU